CUCGUAUGUAUGUGGAAUUUCAUUUUUUGCAUCAAUUUUUAAUGAGCCAAGAUUUGGGAGGUUAUUAACAUAUGAUGUAAAUGGUAUAUAUUUUGUUUUUUCUAUAUUUAAGCUUUUUGUUUUAAAUUAUUCCAUGUAUUUGCAUCAUAGAAAAUAGCUGUGUCAUCUGCAAAACUUAUGAUUUUACCUGUUACAUUCAGUCUGAAUAGAUCAUUGAUAUAAAUAUUGAAGAGAAUUGGUCCCAAGACUGUUCCCUGUGGUAUUCCGUAAGAUAUAAUUCUUCCUUUACUGAUUUUUCCAUCUAUAGAAACAUGUUGUUGUCUAUUUAGCAGAUAACUUUCUAGGAUGUGUGACGCCUCACGACCCGGCCUAAUUAUUCUCGAUGCUUCCCGGGCUUACGAGUAAAGGCCAGACCUUCCACGGCGAUUCGAGGCGACCGCUGUCAGAGUAUUUAAGAACAAGAAUUCGAGCACAGGCCAGUCAGUCAAUGAACGAGCCGCGACGCGUGAUAUAAUUAUUGUAUUCGAGUCGGAUUUAAUGAAAUGUAUAUAUUAGUUAUCGAAGUUAUUAUGUUUAGUUAAUUAAAUCAUAAAUUUGAGUUGUAAAUAAAUUAGAUGUGUUAGUUGGUGUUAUUUGUAAUUAUUAAAAUAAAUAAGUGAUGUAAAUAAAAUAAUAUAAGUAA